CGCGGGCCCCCCAGCAACAUAGCCACGGCUCCCAGUUUGAGAAGCACUGAUAUAGAGUCGAAUCUAUUAACCUUGUUUUCGACGGGGAAGCCGAAACAAUGGUUGCAAGAUGUCCGAUUCUGUUAUCAUUAUCGACUAUCACAGACUUCAUUAUCAGUAUUAAUUAUAAAUCGGUAAUAUUUUUCGAGCAUUGACGACUGUUCGGUCACGUAUAGAUAUACCCAUAUGCGCCUGUAGCCUGUUGUAUUUCGGCCGCCGUUGAACUCCGGUCGACCACAGAAUCGUGUAUAAUCUGCGCUUCUGACGCACGUCGAAACGUCAUUCAGACAAUUCCGUAGCGUUUUAUGAUUAUUUAAUAACGCAACGUUUUUGUGGUGUUUUGCGUUCAACACACGGCAAACGUGUUCGCUGGCCCAAAGCCCACCGGCGGCCACCAUUGCAUGAUCAGAACCUUGAAAGGUAAGUUUGACACAGCGGCGUCGCAGGACCUGAGCGAUCGUUACCCGUCUUGUUUUUACGUAUUUACAACUUAACGAAACGUACGAAAUGCGCUCCUCUCUGUAUAGUCUUCCCGCCCGUACAUAUUGAGUGUAACUCGUUUUAUACCCAGUGGGCCCCAUUUGUUCCGUACGUUCCGUAGGUGUCAAAUGAAACGCAAAUACCCUUUAUACGGUCGAUGAACGUGGUGCCCAUUGCUUGAACAGCAAAGUAUCCAUGGCACAGACCAGUAAUUGAUAACGUGUAUGGACGUCAACGAUCCUACUCUGUGGUCUGCACAAGCGCCACUAGACCACCGACUCGGGGGGUGCUGAAAUUAUAGACAAAUCAAACACCCAUGGGGGCUAUGCUUCUAUAAUCCCCUUUACAUGACUAACAAUAAUUAGCUACACCUUUCAUUUACAAUUUUGUAUGUACAAAUUUAUCGUGACAAUUUUAACAUUGUUUUUCACAAACACAUGAAACUUGUAUUUUGUUCUGCUCAUUAACCAUGAAAUACAUGGACAAAUAUUUUAUCAUUGCUAUGGAAAAACUAAUUGGGUUUUUUGGGAGUGCUGGUUUUAAACUUGGAGGUGCUAAAACACUCAUAGCAUCCCCUCCCCCAAGUUUCGCCUAUGAAUUGAUCUGGUUGUUUGACUGUGACCAGCAUAGAUAUCUAUGGUGGCCGCAUAAAUGCCACUAGAGCAUUAUUUCUGGGUGUGCUAAAUUUCUAUAUCAUUGACUUAUGGAGGCUUCA